rnacentral:tRNA from 1 species
GGGGUUAUAGUGUAACCUGGCAUCAUCUGGGACUCCAGUUGUCUUUGAAGAAAAAUAUACGCGUAACUGAACAGUAUCCGUUGUGAUGAUCAAUUGGAGUACUGAGGCAAGAGACAUCCCAGGAUCGGGGUUCAAAUCCCUGUGACCCCA